rnacentral:lncRNA from 1 species
GCUACUCAGCCAUCCUUGAAAAGCUAGUGUGGAACAAAAGCUGUCAGUGCCUCUGUUUGCAAGCCAGGAAGAAACAUAACACCUGGGAAGACCUGUCUCCCCCUACCACGGAAAGCUGAAUGAAAAUGAAAAACUGCAAGAAAUUCUUUUCUCACAUAACGAAGCCUGUGGCAGAGUAGUUCCAGGAUUGGUGAAUUUUCCGCUAGGACUGUCAAAGUCCAAACUCCACUGAGGCAAGAAGGGGGAAAACCCUGUGGUAAGCCUUUUUAAGAACCUACUUUUUCAGGGG